rnacentral:lncRNA from 1 species
UCGAAACAAGAUUUCGACAAUAAUAAAGGGGGUGGCUGUCAAGCUAGGAAAGUGGAUGGGUUUGGAGACAAGGAAUUUUAUACAGGUUCAGGCCUUCUUAUUAAAGAAGUAAUACCCUACUCCUGUCCGGGGAUGAUUCCGCCAAGUGUGUUAUUGAUUGUAUGAUUGAAGAAAAAAGAAUCGUGCCCCAAGAGGCACACGGACCCUCCUUAUAUAGGGGAAGGGAUCCGUAAUACAAGGUACAGUCUAUAUCCUAACGGAAUAUGGGAUUACAGAUAAAAUACAAUCGUAACCGACUAGGAUCCUGGGUAUUUUCUUGACAUACAAGUUUAGAAUCUAACCCGAAUCCUCAUAAAGAUAUUCUAUCUAUAUUUGGUACCAUAUAUCUGACUAAAGUAUAACUGUCAUGCAGAUAUGGGGUAUCCAUAAUCUCCACAGUAGCCCCCGAGACCUUCGCAGUUGACGAAACAACCUUCUCGAAACAAAAACCAGUAGUCCGAGUGCUUUAAUUCAACUUGCUCCAGCUUGUCGAGUACUAAAAAUCAAAAACUGUGAAGGACGAAAAUAAAACAUGGUGCAUCGAGUAGAUGCACCUAAUUAGGUGUAGCCCCUGACUAUGUGAUUAGUUGAAAAACUAAACAUAUAGUCAAGAACCGAGUGGUUUUAUAGCGAAGCACGCAUGGUACUUAGUAAGAUACCCAGCCGACUGCUUCUCAACUUGAAUAUAUCAAGGACAAAAAAUACAAGAAGGGCCGAGUGACAAACACUCAAAAGGCCCAAAAAUAGAUAUAUUUGGUAGGAAUCCGAGCAAGAAACUCUUAAAAUGAUCCACCAAACAUAACAGAAAAUCAUGGUAAUUAAUGAGUCUAACAGCCUAGGCUGUGACCCUUACCAUAACCAAAAUAAGCAUAUAACAUGCUAGGAGAAUGACUACUGAUAAACCAGUCAUCUUAAAUUAACCCAACAGCUCUUGUAGCCUAAAAAAGCUUACAAAAAUGGUAUAACACCUUUCUGUUGGGCACCUUUUCAUGUGCAUCAUAAUAAUUCCAAAGAAUUAUUGAAUCGCGUUAAAAAGGAUUUUAACAGCAUCGGGCCACAUCAUUGUGAGCACAUAUUGCCAAAGCAAAAAGCGCCUAAGUCCCUAGGGAUCACAAUGGGCCGCGCUGAAAACAUAAUUGGGCUGAAGUACUGUACAGACCCAGGCCCAUUAGUACUCCCGAUACCCUAAUAAUACCGAAGUGAAAAACGUCUCUUCGUCUUCCCCGCCGAGACUCUCGCCAUUUUCCCCAUUUCCUGCUACAAUGCAAAACUGCGCCGGACAAACUAGGGUUCAUCAAUCCGCUCCAAUCCACCCUCAAAAACUUCACAAGAUUUCUCCCCGCAUCCACCGCUCCGAUUCCCCAUCCCUUUCCAGCCAUAUCUCGAACUAAAUCAAUCCAUCCAGUUCACAUUCAUGGCGGAAGAAAGAGAAAGCUUCGAGAGUCAGUGGGCGCCCUCCGAUGUGACGGAAGACAAUCUGAAGGAGAUGGUGGCACACGGCGUUCUUCCAGCAAAAUAGAUCAUCGGGUGGCGACCGGCAUUUGGUGAGGCUUUCCCGACCCCCGAUACACAUGAAAUCGUGGUAUUUGCUCAUUUCUUCUAUGGCGGAUUUUCUCUUCCAACUUCGAGAUUUUUCCGGGGCAUUCUGAACUUCUACGGGAUUAGCUUGCAUCACUUGAAUCCAAACUCCAUAGUACAUAUUGCCAAUUUUAUCCACGCUUGCGAAGCUUUUCUGGGCAUUAGGCCUCAUUUCGCCUUGUUCCGCCGCAUAUUCUUCCUCAAGCCCCAGCCAAACAAAAACAAGUCGUGCGUUGUUGGGGGAGCUGGUUUCCAACUCAGAGGAACCUUGAGCCAAAAAUAUUUCUCCAUGCCCUUCAAAACCUCGAACAAAGGCUGGCAUGCGAACUGGUUCUAUGUUCAGAAUCCUGAGCCCGCACUUCCCGAGUACUGUUGUCUUCCUCCGGUUUACCAGGACACAUGGAACUCAUUGCCUAUGGGAGAUGAAGCUGCUCAGGCAGUAGAACUGAUGGAGAGGAUGAUAAAGCUGAAAGAACAGGGUCUUCAAGGAGAGCAGAUCACCCGGCACUUUAUCAAGUGUCGGUUAGCUCCAAUCAAAGAAAGAUCACGCACAGCUUUUGAGUUUGAUGGCAAGCAUGAUCCAAAUCGGGAAGAUCCAGAUUCUCUUGACUUUAAGGUCAUGAAAGAAAGAAUGUACAAAAUCUUUUCAAACGCUAUUGUUGUCAGCUAUUCACAUCUGCUGCCCGUUGUGCCAUUCAACGCAUUCAACCCUCCUCCACCGGUAUGCACUCAAACAUUUCACCCUUCCUCAAAAUAUGAUCUUGCUUUCCUGUUGAAUCAAUUAACAAUGAAAGAUAUUACACCCAGGAAUUUGCUUUGAUGAAGUCGGAUCCCCCAAUCGCUCAACGUCGAUCUCCCCGCCACCAAACUGGGCAAGGGAGCGGAGGACCAAGAAUUCGGUCUGAACCUCAACCAAGUGCUUCUGAUCCAGUCGGCCAGUCAGACUCUCGAAAGAGGAAGCUGGUUUUAAGUAACGACGAAGCCGAUGAUACUACCAGGCGGCCUAGAGACCGAGAGACAACCAAGAAACUACCAAAACAGGCUACUCUAAGGAAGAAAACCACCAGUCGCCCUGCGCCAAAGAUCAGGAAAUCUUCUAGGUACAACUCAUAUAACGAUCUCUCUUGCAUUAAUGUGCAUCCAUUGCGGCAAUAACACUGAUAAUCAAAUUUGCAGGAAACCAUCUGAUAUAGAUCUGUCUGGGAAAGAUUCUGACCCGACUAGCGUGGACGCAAGUUCUUCCAAAGAAACCGGGCCAACUGCCGAGGACCGUCCGAGUGACAAUCAGACGGCAACCGAUAACGUAGGAUCCGGUGAUCAACCCCCGACUGGAAACCAGUCGGCCGAAGCCGAAGCCGGAGUUAAUUAGGAGCCCCCGACUGGAAACCAGUCGGAUGCAGGGCCAAGCCAAGAGAUUCCAGAAGUCGGAGCUCAAGCAAACAGCCUUCGCGGUCAAGACGCCAGCAAUAACCAGAGAUCUGGAUCUCCUUUAAAGGCAUCCAAAUCCACUCGUCCUCGUCCAGAAAUCAUUACGGGUAAAACACUUUGUCUGAAACCAUGUCGACCCAAAUAACUCUGACCAAUUGUCUAACCUCUGUCAGUGGAUACAUUAGGGCCAAUGAUCAGUGAUGAAGAAGAAGUUCCCCGCAUACAAGCAGCUGAGGGUUCACGCCCUCCGAUUCUGGUCAAGUGGUGGGAUGACAACAUGCAGCCUCAUGGGAUCGUGAUAAAUAAGCAAAAAGAGGACGAAGAGUUAUGCCUACUGAAGAAGGCACUUGGUCAGGCAACCCGUAUGGAAAAUGUAAGCCCUCUGGUACCUGAUCUUGACCAUCUUGUUUGCCAUUUAAUCCAUGCGCUAAUUAAACUGUCUUGCAGAGGAUUCAUCUUAGGAACGAAGCUAAAACGGCAACCUUAGAGAGGCUAGUCCCUCAUCUCGGGACCCUCGAAGCCACCAGGAGUCUGCUGCACGAAACAAAAGAGCUUGCCAGGAAAAAUGAGCAUGAUCUGAGGAAUCGAAUUGCCGAGCUCCAGGAAUCCAAUUUUGAACUGAGUGGCUUAUCAAAAGGUUCGCACAAACUCUGCCCAACUGAUUCAUACUGUUAUCUUUGUGAUCUUGAUUUACAGUAAUCAAUGUAGUGCAAGCUGCCAAGAUAUCUCAGUUCGAGAAGCAAAUUCAAACUCUGGAAAACGACAAGGCAGAACUGGCAAGACAAAAAGACCUGGCUUUAAAGGAAGUUGAAGGUAUCAACAAUCAAUACCUCAAAAGCCAUUAUCUUCCAUAUGCUGACUUAUUAAUUUGAGUCUGUCGAUGCAGACCGCAAGAUCAAAUCUCAAGCUCAAUUCGACGUCCUAGUUGGCAAGAUCAAAAAACUUGAAGGAGCCCGGGAUGAGGUUGCUAACGCUGCUGCCCCAAUAGUUCAAGCGAUGUUCCUCAAUAACAACGGCCCUAGUGCACUUGAUGCUUCUGAAAUUUUCGACAAGCUGAGAGUUGCUCCGGAUAUAUAUUUCAAGAACAUCAAAGAAGCUGGAAGUAUGGGAGCAAGCAUGGCAUUGGCGAUGACUAAAUCCCUUUAUCCGAGAGUUGAUAUUGACGCCAUUGAUGGCUUUGCAGACGGGACGAGCGAAGAAGCUGCUCUUGACCUCAUCAGUAAUGCGCAGAAAGCGGCUGACAAAAUUGCUGCUGAUGUAGUUGAGAGAUUUCAGGACACCGAUCUUCGACCGACUGGUCUUGAUAUUUCUGAUGAUGAAAAGACUGAUACUGAUUAAUGUACUGAUAAUCUUGAUGAUUAAUAAUGAUGGAGGCACAAUUUGUACAAUACUGAUGAAUUUAUGCUGUGCUUGAUAUCUUAACUUAGCUCCUGAUUUCUUAAAAGUUUUUGUCAAACCUUGUUGAGCCUAAAACCCGCAAAAGUUGUUAAAAAACUUUCAGUCCUCAUUGACUAAGCCGAGAAAUCGAACAGGGCAAUGAUACAUCAAGUAAGCAAAUUGAAUUCAUAAAAAUCACACUCCAUUAUUAUUAUAGUAGCCCCCUGACUGAAAACUUCGAGGAAAAACUUGAAGUUAGCAGUCAAAGAGGAAAGAUACAAACGAAAUGCCUAAGUGUAAAAUCGACGAAGGUGUUCAAUAUUCCAAGAAUUGUUGAUGAUAGUACCAUCUUCGCGCUUGAGUCGAUAAGAACCUGGCCGAGUGACUUCAGCAAUUAUGAACGGUCCUUCCCAUAAGGGAGAUAAUUUAUGCCGAUCCUGUGUUGUUUGAAUUUUCCUUAGAACCAGGUCACCGACUAAAAAGGCUCGCGAUCAAACAUUUCGAUUAUGAUAACGACGCAACCCUUGCAGGUAUCGAGUCGAUUGAAUUAAAGCUGCUUCUCGGGCUUCUUCUAGUCGGUUGAUGUCGUCUACUCGGCCCUCUUCAUAGCCCUCCUCGUUGAAGUUCCGAAAUCGUAGUGAUUCAAAUUCCACUUCACUCGGCAACAUUGCUUCUGCGCCAUAAACCAAAAAGAAUGGCGACUGGCCGGUAGCCCGACUAGGAGUAGUGCGUAAAGACCAAAGUACGGACGGCAGCUGAUCUACCCACUUGCCAGCAUAGGGGCGUAGUCGGUCGAAAACUCGUGCUUUGAUCCCUUGCAGUAUCAUGCUGUUAGCGCGCUCAACUUGUCCGUUACUCAUGGGGUGUGCCAUGGAGGCAUAACAAAUUUUAAUGCCGAAGUCUUCACAAAAGUCUUUAAAUGUUCCGCCAGUGAAUUGAGUGCCAUUAUCAGUGAUGAUCCGAUUAGGUACCCCAAACUGAUGCACAAUGUUGAUGAAAAAAUCUCUAGCUUUAUCUGCUGUGAUCGUGAUAACCGGUUUAGCCUCAAUCCAUUUGGAGAAUUUGUCGAUAGCCACGAAGAGAUGUGUGUAACCGCCGACUGCCCUUUUAAAUGGGCCGACCAUGUCAAGCCCCCAGAUCGCAAACGGCCAGGACAACGGGAUGGUUUGCAACUCUUGGGCUGGUAAAUGAGUUUGUCUGGCAAAAAAUUGACAACCUUCGCAUGUCCGCACAAUCUUAUCUACAUCGGACACAGCUGUAGGCCAAAAAAAACCUUGCCGGUAAGCUUUGCCGACAAUGGUCCGUGCAGCAGCAUGAUUACCACAAAUACCAGAGUGUAUAUCCUUCAACAAUUGUUUCCCUUCCUCCAAAGAUACAUAGCACUGCAGUAUUCCUGAUGGACUUUUCUUGUACAGCUCAGUCUCAUGAAUAAUGUAAAGUCUGCUGCGCCUGGAAAUCCGCUCGACUUCAUUUUUGUCUUGAGGGAGUUCUUGUUUGCUCAAAAACUUUAUAAACGGUUCUCUCCAAUCGGCUUCAAGCAUGCCUACGCCUUGAGUAUCCAUGGCUUCAGUUAUCUCCUUUCUGGGUACGGUCGGUUCGUAAAGAUGUUCGACGAACACAUCUGAAGGAGCUGCUUCCAGUUUUGAACCAAAAUUGGCCAGUCUGUCGGCUGCCUCAUUAUUAUGUCGGAGGACAUGGGUGAGCUCGAGUCCGUCGAAUUUAUCUUCCAGCUUACGUACCUCUUGUCGGUAAGCGGUCAUAUUAACAUCUAGACAUGACCACUCUUUCGUGACUUGAUUAACACCCAACUGAGAGUCUCCACGGACGAUUAGUCGGCGAAUACCUAGAGAUAUUGCAAUCCUUAGUCCAUGGAGUAGGGCUUCGUAUUCCGCUACGUUAUGGGACGCAGAAAAAUGUAUCCACAAUACGUAGCUUAAUCUUUCUCCAGUCGGGGAAAUCAAGACGACCCCAGCUCCAGUGCCUGUAAGCCUCUUCGACCCAUCAAAAUGCAUAGUCCAAUAUUCCAUCUUUUCCUCUGGCAUGUCUUCUUGGCACUCGGUCCACUCGGCAAGGAAAUCAGCUAGAGCUUGUGACUUGAUCGAAGUUCGUGGUUUGAAAGAUAUAUCCAAAGACAUCAAUUCUAAGGCCCACUUCGCAAUCCGCCCGUUUGCUUCGCGAUUAUGAAGUAUAUCCCCGAGUGGAAACGAUGUGACCACCGUGACCGAGUGACUUUGAAAAUAGUGAGAUAAUUUCCUGACGGUAAUUAAGACACCAUAUAAUAACUUUUGAACCUGAGGAUACCUUGUCUUGGAGUCGGCUAAAACCUCGCUGACAAAAUAGAUUGGUCAUUGGACUUUUUGAAUAUGGCCUUCCUCUUCACGCUCGACAACCAGGACCGUACUCACAACUUGGGAGGUCGCCGACACAUAUAACAGUAGCGGUUCUUGUGGAUGCGGUGAAGCCAAUACUGGUGGAGUGGUGAGGAGUUUCUUGAAGUCUUCAAAGGCUUUUUGUGUUUCGGGUCCCCACUGGAAAUCGUCAGUUUUCUUCAGCAGCUUGAAGAAGGGCAUCCCCCGCUCGCCGAGUCGUGAGACGAACCGGCUGAGCGCCGCCAUGCAACCAGUCAACUUUUGGACGUCUUUUUGGGAGCUCGGCGGUUUCAUGUUGAGGAUGGCGUUGAUUUUCUCCGGGUUGGCCUGUAUGCCUCUCUGAGAUACCAUAAAUCCGAGCAACUUCCCUGAUGGUACUCCGAAGAUGCACUUUUCCGGGUUUAGUUUCAUCUUGAAAGCACGAAUACUUGUGAAAGUUUCUUCUAAAUCCGCAAUCAGGUCAUCCCUCUACUUGGUCUUGACGACUACAUUAUCAACAUAGGCUUCAACAUUGCGACCGAUCUAAGUUGAAAAACACCUUUGAAUCAUGCGUUGAUAGGUUGCUCCUGCGUUCUUCAAUCCAAAGGGCAUGGUGAUGUAGCAGUAGGCCCCAAAGGGUGUAAUAAACGAGGUCUUCAAGUAGUCGGAUUCUUUUAGUCGGAUCUGAUGAUAUCCCGAGUAACAAUCCAAGAAGCUGAGUAGCUCGCAGCCGGCCGUUGAGUCAACCACCUGGUCAAUGCGAUGUAACCCAAAAGGGUCUUUGGGACAAGAUUUUUUGAGGUCGGUAUAAUCGACACACAUUCGCCAUUGCCCCGUCUUUUUCCGAACCAGGACUGGGUUAGCCAGCCAGUCGGGAUGAAGGACUUCCUUUAUGAAACCUGCUGCUAACAGCUUGGUUAAUUCCUCCUUGAUCGCAUCCUUCCUGUCUUGUGCAAAACGGCGGAGUCGUUGCUUGAUGGGUUUGGCGUCUUCCUUAACAUGUAAAGAGUGCUCAAUCACCUCUCUGGGGAUACCAGGCAUAUCGGAUGGUUUCCACGCAAAAAUAUCUUUAUUAUUCUGAAGAAAGGUGAUGAGCGCGCUUUCCUAUUUACAAUCUAACUCAGCGCCUAUUACAGCAGUCUUAUCAGGAUCGGAGGGAUCUAGGGGAAUCUUUUUCGCCUUGGCAUCACUUUCUUCGGUCUUUGUCAGCUUGGUUGCAGGCACUUCUCCCUCGCCUGCCGUGGUUGCAGACAGUCGGAUCUCUUCGCGAGCAAGAGUAGUCUCGUGGGUUUGGGCCAUCUCGUAGCUUUCUUUGUCGCAUGUGACGGCCUGCUUGAUGUCGCUCCGUAGUGAUAUGACCCCUCGAGGACCAGGCAUCUUCAUCAUCAUGUAGGUGUAGUGUGGGACGGCCAUAAAUUUGGCUAAAGCCGGUCGUCCAAGUAUAGCAUGAUAUGCUGUCUCGAAAUCGGCAACUUCGAAACAAACAUUUUCUGUGCGAAAAUUUUCCCGAGUGCCGAAGGUAACUGGAAGAGUGAUCUGGCCGAGUGGUGUAGCUGACAAUCCUGGGAUAACACCGUGGAAGGGUGCAUUACUCGGCUUUAAUUCCGUGCGAGGAAUCUGCAUAUCGUCCAGGGUCUUAGCGAAAAGGAUGUUGAGUGCGCUGCCACCAUCGAUGAGAGUCCGUCGGAGCUUGACAUUGCGAACCACUGGGUCUAGUACCAGGGGGUACCGCCCCGGGUGGACCACUCGGUCGGGAUGAUCCGAGCGGUCGAACUUAAUUGCUGUUUCUGACCACCGAAGAUACUGGGGCGUGUUAGGCUGAACCGCAUUGAUCUCCCGUUCUGUUAGCUUCUGUUUUCUCUUGGACUCAUAAGCCAGGGGUCCGCCGAAGAUGUGAUUAAGUUCUUUGCGAUGAUCUUGAAAACCAGUCGGGGCAUCAUCUUCAUCAUCUUUCUUCUUUGAUGUGCCCUGAUCUCCGUCUGCAGGUUUGCGUGCGUUCUUGACGUAUUGCUCCGCGAACUGUUUGUAGACGAAGCAAUCUUUGGCCACGUGGUUGGAAUUGGGAUGAUGCGGACAUUGAGAGUUCAUUAUCUUGUCGAAGGUGUUGACGCGGGGACGUUGUCGGGAAGAUGGAGAGGUGGUCGCCACAAGUUCUUCGGGCUUACGCUUGCGAUCCUUGUGGUUGUUAUUUCCACUCCCUCCUGCAGUCAGCGUGUCCUUCUUUGGCUUCCAAGUGGUGCCCGACUAUUUGGACGCGGUGAUAGCAUCUUCGGCUUCGGCAUACUCGUUGGCUUUUUCGAACAUCUGCUUAACCGUCCUGGGAGGUUUACGUCCGAACUUACUGACUAGGUCCUCGUGGCGAAUGCCUUUAGUGAAGGUGGCGAUGAUGACGUCGUCGGUGAUGUCGGAGAUCUUGUUGCGUUGCUCGGAGAAGCGUCGGAUGUAAUCUCGAAGGGAUUCUCCAGACUUCUGAAUGACGUUGUAGAGAUCAAACUGUGUGCCGGGGCGUUCAAAGGUGCCCUGGAAGUUGGCGAUGAAGUGAUCACGAAGUUUCGCCCAUGAUCCGAUCAUGCCACGGGGUAGUCCGUGGAGCCAGGAUCGGGCGGAGUCCGCUAGGGCCACAGGUAGAUAGUUUGCCAUGGCCUUGCUGUCUCCACCUGCUGCGCGGAUUGCGAGUCCGUAGACGGUGAGCCAAGACUCCAGAUUGGUGGUGCCGUCAUACUUCUCGAUUCCAGUCGGUUUGAAGCCGACUGGCCAAUCCACUCGACGCAGGUCAUUAGUGAAGGCAGCUACUCCAUCCACGUCGUCGUCGUAGCGAUUUGGUGAAUGACGGUGACCUCGUGCUGCACGGCGCUGGUUGAUCGUGUCACGAAGGUCGACGGGACGCUGGCGAGGUGGAGAACGAGGCCGUUCAGCUCGGCGCUCCCUGUGACGUUCGGGAAGCGAGUGAACAGAUCGUUCGUCGUGACCCCUGCUCCUGCGACUAGAUCCUGUGCCGGUGAUGCUGAGGCUUGGCUGAUGAUGAGGGACUCGGCUACCAGUCGGGGUGCGGGUGCUUGCGGAGUUGGCUGGAACCGAGGUAGCGAUCAUGGUCUUCGUCUGGUUCAAGAUGUUGACAACAUGAUCGGCUUGGUUGAGGGCGUCUUCCUUGAGGAGGGUGUCGAGGAGAGUGAUUGCUGCAACCACGUUCUGCUGGGGGGUGCGAAAGACCGCUGUCCCGUCGACGUCUUGUUGCCCAAUGAGCUCUCUCGCUCGGCGCCCAGAUACCAAGGCGCGGUGCCGUCGAUCUUCAGCUUCCUUUGCAAUCCGUUCGCGAUCUUGUUGUUCACGCUAUAGUCGUUCUCGCUCCUGUCGCUGUCGCUCCUCCUCCAGUCGGCGACGUUCAGCUUCUUGCCGUGCGCGAUCUUGUUCUGCUUCUCGGGCUCGGCGCUGUUCUUCCGUUUCGUUGUCAGCCAUGAAUACGCCGAAGAAGAGGGGCGUGUAGUUAUCCUCGUAGCUGUCGUCGAAGUUGUCGAAGUCGCCAUGGUCGUAGUGGUAGCCGAAGUCGUCAUAGUCGAGGAUCUCAGUUGGUCGGGAACUGACGCCGGGGGAGCUGAGGUAGCCAUCCAACUCUUCCGUCGAGACUGUCCCAAGAGGUUGGAGUAUAACGCCAACCUCCCUGGAUGUAGACUGGAUCGGGGCCGGUGCCGGAGCUCGCCUAGAUCUCCGAGUGGGAGAUGUUUUGGCUGUGAAGACGGCGGCCAAGUCAUCAGGAAGUUUCAUCAAGAUUGAGGGAUAGGACCCGUCGUCUUGAUCUGAUCGUGGGGGAAUAGAUUGGAUCUCGUCCGAGUGGCUUGAAACCGACUUAGGAGAGAUGAUCUUGGAGUAGGCCUCGGCCGAGUUCGGAAUACCGAACGGCACGGGGACCUGGUUUCUCCCCGACUGGUUUGAAUCCGAGUCAAGGAGAGAGAUCUUGCCGAAGUCGUUGGUGAUGAAGUCGAGGCUGCUGAAUCGGAACGCCUGCCCGGGAGGAAGGCGAAGUUGUUGAUGCCAGAAACGAAACCCAUCGUACUUAGUCGGCGAGACGCCUCCCCUACCUGGCGCGCCAACUGUCGAAACAAGAUUUCGGCAAUAAUAAAGGGGGUGGCUGUCAAGCUAGGAAAGUGGAUGGGUUUGGAGACAAGGAAUUUUAUACAGGUUCAGGCCUUCUUAUUAAAGAAGUAAUACCCUACUUCUGUCCAGGGAUGAUUCCGCCGAGUGUGUUAUUGAUUGUAUGAUUGAAGAAAAAAGAAUCGUGCCCCAAGAGGCACACGGACCCUCCUUAUAUAGGGGAAGGGAUCCGUAAUACAAGGUACAGUCCAUAUCCUAACAGAAUAUGGGAUUACAGAUAAAAUACAAUCGUAACCGACUAGGAUCCCGGGUAUUUUCUUGACAUACAAGUUUAGAAUCUAACCCGAGUCCUCGUAAAGAUAUUCUAUCUAUAUUUGGUACCAUAUAUCCGACUAAAGUAUAACUGUCAUGCAGAUAUGGGGUAUCCAUAAUCUCCA